rnacentral:rRNA from 1 species
CUCGUAGGCGGCUUGGAAAGUCAAUCGUGAAAACCCGGGGCUCAACCCCGGGACGCCGGUCGAAACUUCCAUAGCUAGGGUCCGGUAGAGGUGAGUGGAAUUCUAGGUGUAGCGGUGAAAUGCGCAGAUAUCUAGAGGAACACCAGUAGCGAAGGCGGCUCACUGAGCCGGUACCGACGCUGAGGAGCGAAAGCGUGGGGAGCAAACA